rnacentral:rRNA from 1 species
ACACUAUCAUUAACUGAAUCCAUAGGUUAAUGAGGCGAACCGGGGGAACUGAAACAUCUAAGUACCCCGAGGAAAAGAAAUCAACCGAGAUUCCCCCAGUAGCGGCGAGCGAACGGGGAGGAGCCCAGAGCCUGAAUCAGUGUGUGUGUUAGUGGAAGCGUCUGGAAAGGCGCGCGAUACAGGGUGACAGCCCCGUACACAAAAAUGCACAUAUUGUGAGCUCGAUGAGUAGGGCGGGACACGUGGUAUCCUGUCUGAAUAUGGGGGGACCAUCCUCCAAGGCUAAAUACUCCUGACUGACCGAUAGUGAACCAGUACCGUGAGGGAAAGGCGAAAAGAACCCCGGCGAGGGGAGUGAAAAAGAACCUGAAACCGUGUACGUACAAGCAGUGGGAGCCUCUUAAUGGGGUGACUGCGUACCUUUUGUAUAAUGGGUCAGCGACUUAUAUUCUGUAGCAAGGUUAACCGAAUAGGGGAGCCGAAGGGAAACCGAGUCUUAACUGGGCGUUAAGUUGCAGGGUAUAGACCCGAAACCCGGUGAUCUAGCCAUGGGCAGGUUGAAGGUUGGGUAACACUAACUGGAGGACCGAACCGACUAAUGUUGAAAAAUUAGCGGAUGACUUGUGGCUGGGGGUGAAAGGCCAAUCAAACCGGGAGAUAGCUGGUUCUCCCCGAAAGCUAUUUAGGUAGCGCCUCGUGAAUUCAUCUCCGGGGGUAGAGCACUGUUUCGGCAAGGGGGUCAUCCCGACUUACCAACCCGAUGCAAACUGCGAAUACCGGAGAAUGUUAUCACGGGAGACACACGGCGGGUGCUAACGUCCGUCGUGAAGAGGGAAACAACCCAGACCGCCAGCUAAGGUCCCAAAGUCAUGGUUAAGUGGGAAACGAUGUGGGAAGGCCCAGACAGCCAGGAUGUUGGCUUAGAAGCAGCCAUCAUUUAAAGAAAGCGUAAUAGCUCACUGGUCGAGUCGGCCUGCGCGGAAGAUGUAACGGGGCUAAACCAUGCACCGAAGCUGCGGCAGCGACACUAUGUGUUGUUGGGUAGGGGAGCGUUCUGUAAGCCUGUGAAGGUGUACUGUGAGGUAUGCUGGAGGUAUCAGAAGUGCGAAUGCUGACAUAAGUAACGAUAAAGCGGGUGAAAAGCCCGCUCGCCGGAAGACCAAGGGUUCCUGUCCAACGUUAAUCGGGGCAGGGUGAGUCGACCCCUAAGGCGAGGCCGAAAGGCGUAGUCGAUGGGAAACAGGUUAAUAUUCCUGUACUUGGUGUUACUGCGAAGGGGGGACGGAGAAGGCUAUGUUGGCCGGGCGACGGUUGUCCCGGUUUAAGCGUGUAGGCUGGUUUUCCAGGCAAAUCCGGAAAAUCAAGGCUGAGGCGUGAUGACGAGGCACUACGGUGCUGAAGCGACAAAUGCCCUGCUUCCAGGAAAAGCCUCUAAGCAUCAGGUAACAUCAAAUCGUACCCCAAACCGACACAGGUGGUCAGGUAGAGAAUACCAAGGCGCUUGAGAGAACUCGGGUGAAGGAACUAGGCAAAAUGGUGCCGUAACUUCGGGAGAAGGCACGCUGAUAUGUAGGUGAAGCGACUUGCUCGUGGAGCUGAAAUCAGUCGAAGAUACCAGCUGGCUGCAACUGUUUAUUAAAAACACAGCACUGUGCAAACACGAAAGUGGACGUAUACGGUGUGACGCCUGCCCGGUGCCGGAAGGUUAAUUGAUGGGGUUAGCGGUAACGCGAAGCUCUUGAUCGAAGCCCCGGUAAACGGCGGCCGUAACUAUAACGGUCCUAAGGUAGCGAAAUUCCUUGUCGGGUAAGUUCCGACCUGCACGAAUGGCGUAAUGAUGGCCAGGCUGUCUCCACCCGAGACUCAGUGAAAUUGAACUCGCUGUGAAGAUGCAGUGUACCCGCGGCAAGACGGAAAGACCCCGUGAACCUUUACUAUAGCUUGACACUGAACAUUGAGCCUUGAUGUGUAGGAUAGGUGGGAGGCUUUGAAGUGUGGACGCCAGUCUGCAUGGAGCCGACCUUGAAAUACCACCCUUUAAUGUUUGAUGUUCUAACGUGGGCCCCUUACCGGGGUUGCGGACAGUGUCUGGUGGGUAGUUUGACUGGGGCGGUCUCCUCCUAAAGAGUAACGGAGGAGCACGAAGGUUGGCUAAUCCUGGUCGGACAUCAGGAGGUUAGUGCAAUGGCAUAAGCCAGCUUGACUGCGAGCGUGACGGCGCGAGCAGGUGCGAAAGCAGGUCAUAGUGAUCCGGUGGUUCUGAAUGGAAGGGCCAUCGCUCAACGGAUAAAAGGUACUCCGGGGAUAACAGGCUGAUACCGCCCAAGAGUUCAUAUCGACGGCGGUGUUUGGCACCUCGAUGUCGGCUCAUCACAUCCUGGGGCUGAAGUAGGUCCCAAGGGUAUGGCUGUUCGCCAUUUAAAGUGGUACGCGAGCUGGGUUUAGAACGUCGUGAGACAGUUCGGUCCCUAUCUGCCGUGGGCGCUGGAGAACUGAGGGGGGCUGCUCCUAGUACGAGAGGACCGGAGUGGACGCAUCACUGGUGUUCGGGUUGUCAUGCCAAUGGCACUGCCCGGUAGCUAAAUGCGGAAGAGAUAAGUGCUGAAAGCAUCUAAGCACGAAACUUGCCCCGAGAUGAGUUCUCCCUGACUCCUUGAGAGUCCUGAAGGAACGUUGAAGACGACGACGUUGAUAGGCCGGGUGUGUAAGCGCAGCGAUGCGUUGAGCUAACCGGUACUAAUGAACCGUGAGGCUUAACCUU